rnacentral:lncRNA from 1 species
GAGCAGGUUAGGUUUAUUCUCAUCGGUUUCAUAUUAUUAUUUUUUGAUUGAAUCGGUUCUUCUCAUCAAAAUCACUCUGCAUGCGUUGUGAAUCCCGCUUGUUAGUGUUUUUUUAUUCGAUUAGCCUUGGAUGUGUUUUUUUUUAGAGAUCAAGUGUUGUUAUCGGAUUUGUAUAUUUGUGUAUCGGGUAUUUGUGUUCUGAUUUGUAUCGGUUAGAGAUCAAGUGUAAAAUCGGAUUUGUUUAUGUAUGGUUCAAAUUUGUAUAUGUAUGUUUCGAAUUUUUUUAUCUCUUUUGUUUCUUCUAAGUUGUUUUCUAUUCAUAUCGGUUGAUAGAUUCAGAAGAUAGUAAUGAAGUGUAUUAAUG